CAGUCGCCACGGUAAUACGUAGGUCCCGAGCGUUGUCCGGAUUUAUUGGGCGUAAAGCGAGCGCAGGCGGUUUGAUAAGUCUGAAGUUAAAGGCUGUGGCUCAACCAUAGUUCGCUUUGGAAACUGUCAAACUUGGGUGCAGAAGGGGAGAGUGGAAUUCCAUGUGUAGCGGUGAAAUGCGUAGAUAUAUGGAGGAACACCGGUGGCGAAAGCGGCUCUCUGGUCUGUAACUGACGCUGAGGCUCGAAAGCGUUGGGAGCGAACAGGAUUAGAUACCCCCGUAGUCCCUGUCUCUUAUACA
rnacentral:rRNA from 1 species